GCUUACGGCCAUACCAACCUGGCUAUGCCCGAUCUCGUCUGCUCUCCGAAGCUAAGCAGGUUUGGGCCUAGUUAGUACUUGGAUGGGAGACCGCCUGGGAAUACCAGGUCCUGUAAGCU
ensembl:rRNA 5S_rRNA 5S ribosomal RNA